CUGGAGAACUACGGGAACGUGGCUUUUCUGGCUAGAAGUAUAAGAGAGGCUACGGUGGAGACAGACAACGGCCUCACAUCCAAAGAAAGGCUGGAGAGUUCCUCAACAGGAUCUCAAGAUCAUAUCUCGUGCCCAGAUGAGGUGCCUGAGACAGAGGAUGAUCAGAGGGAUGAGGAGGGUGAGGAA